GCGGGUCCGAGUCGGCGGCCCUGCGCGGAGGCCGGGCGCCGCUGGCCCAUGCUGCCUGCAGGCUGCGGCGGGCGGCUGGCGGCGGCGCUGACGGCGGCCCUGGACGACGGCGCCGAGCGGCGGCGGGAGCUGGAGCAGCAGGCGACGCGGGGCCGGGCCCUGCUGGGGCGCUGGGACGUCGCAGAGGAGGAGCAGCGGCAGGCGGGCAGCAGCCCCAGCAGUGGGCAAGAGAGCAGGCCUUCACCCAAAGAGCUGGAGAAGCUGGAGCUGCUGAACAGGGCCUUAGAGAAGGCAUUGAAAGUCAGGAAAAGCAUCCUAAAAACUCCGCUAGAGGCCCAGGGAGUUAAAGAAGGAGAGAAAACUGCAAAUGAGGGACCUGCUCCCAAGAAUACUCAAGUGCAGCAAGUGCCAGUAUCUAGUGAGAGUGUUCCUGUGACUACCAAGGUGAGAGCUGUAAGCAAAAAGCCUACCUCUUCUAAAAAGCCCUCCUCAUACCUGCUAGCAGCCCCUUAUAAGACAGACCCAGUUGUGAAAAAAACGCAUAAGAAAGUCCCAGCCAGAUGUGUCUCUCAAGCUCCUAGAACAGCUGGGAAGAGCCCUUCAAAAGUGGUAUCUUCCAAGCAAGCAAGGAGACAUAGGCUAGCAGUCAGUGCCAGUAACCAAGAAGUCUGUGCUGCAGCUGAAUCCCAAAAGACAACUGGCUUGUCCAAAUGUGCCCUGCUUGAGCAGCAGAGUAUCUCCAUAGGGGAUUCAGCCAGGGGAAAGAACUCAAUAGCUGCUGGCAGGCAGCUAUUUGAUGCAGGGAAGGAAGGUUGUGGUUCCCUGGGAGAGUCCAGCAGAAAGGAGGACCAUACAACUGAAGAUGCUUUGGGAAGGAACAGCUCACCUCAGACAGACACCCUCCAGGAAAAGGGAUCCCGGCUGAAGUUUCCCCUUCCCUACAGGAAAGCCUAUUCCAGGAACUCCAGGGCUUGGGAGAAUUAUCGUCUCUGUCAGUCAAGUGCAGAUACAGCAGCUGUGAGGAACCGUUUUAUAGAGAGAAUCCAGACAACUUUUUGUUCACCGAUGCCAGCCUUCAGUCCUGCAGAGAUAGAGGAGGAUUUAAAGGUCCUACAGGAUGUCCCCUCCCUUUUAAGCCAGUGUGUGGAAGCUGAGCAUGCAGACCAUCUCACACUGCAAAGAGAGUAUGAAAGCCUUCUAACCCUGGAGGGUUUGCAAACCAUAGCAUCUCAAUGCUUACAUAAGCUGCAGCUUCUGCGAGAAGCUGCAGAGUCCCAGAUGAGGCUGUGUCCAGACUGCAAUGGGGAUGCAGGAAGCUGCUGUCCAGACUAUGUUCCUCCUACGGGUCAGGCAUGUGGCAGUACAGGUGUGUUGGCUGUGCCUCUCCUCUGUUACUCCAGUUUCCAGGAGCUGAGGGACCUGUUUGCCUUGAAGAUGCAAGUAUCAAUGCUGAACCAGGAAAUUGCCAUACAAAAGGUCAUGAUGGCAGAACUCCUGCCUGUUUUGGAAUCCAGACUUCACCCAGAGGCUUCUGCAGUUCAGCUGUAUCGGGCAAUUUACACACAGCUCUGUGAAGGUGGCAAGCGAUUCCCUGUGCUGGUGAGAGAUGAGCUGGCAGAAUGAUUCUGUGUGACCCUCCUGCUGGCCAUUCAUACAACCAGAGGCAGUUCUAACACACCUCUCAUUAGCUUCAGCAUUGUGAAUUUGCAGAAUUUCUGAAAAUCAGACCGCAGAAUACAGAAUUCUACAUCCUGAAAAUGAGAAAUGCUGGGCACGCGCAACUGUUUUUCCUUGAUGACCGAUGCAGGGAUAUACGUGAAUUUUGUAACAGAGGAAGAAAUGUUCUCUAGAGUAGCAUUUGAUUAGCUUUGCCCUAAAAUGUUAUUUGUCCUACCGGAUGAUAUUUCCUGUUCUUGUUUCUAAGCCUGUUACCUUCUAGUUUCUGGAAGAAAUAAGACACAGUUCCUCCAUGUAGAAACCCUCUGUCCUAUGCAGUCAGGAUCACAUCGCUGAGUGCUUUCGGUGUAGGUAUUUCUGAAUCCAAUCUGUGAAUUCUUAAUAUUUUCCUUUGGCCUCCAAAUCAUUUUGGCUUUCAGUAACCUACUAAACUUUUAACCUUUUCAAAACUGUCAGGAGGACAUGGAAUUGCCUUCAGUACCUCACUCCUCUCCUGGGCCUCCCCACUUGCUGCUGAUGGUGGUUGGCAUCAUAUUUGAUUCUGAACUUUCUUAUUUAAGAAUGGAGUAAUUAAUCUGUUUUCAGCUCAUCUUGGCUCCCUUAUCCUUUCUUACUUCCAGUUUAUUUCCCUUGAGGAAUCUGGAAUUCUUGCUCAAAAUACAAGCUUUUCUAAGCCCAUCAGACCCAUUAACACUCUGUUUUUUUCCCGCACCUCUGAAGCUGACAAUCGCAGGGAUUUCUGUUCCCAGG